rfam:Balearica pavonina gibbericeps contig47000, whole genome shotgun sequence.
GUGAGGUGAUGACGAAGUUUAUCCAUUCUCUGAGUGCAGUGGUGCUGCCCUCCUGCAGCACCCUGAUUCCUGUUCUAGGGUCUGGGUGCUGUGCAGCCUCCAGACACCCUCCAGUCUCCUAAUGGAGAGCUGCUGUGGUGUGUGGUUGGCUGCCUGCAGGAGUGAAGUGGUGCUGGCAUCCUCACAAAGACGAAGGAUGAUGUCUGAUCAC